rnacentral:pre_miRNA from 1 species
AGAGGAAUUGUUGGGUCAUAUGGUAAUUCUCCAUUUAACUUUUUAAAGAACUACCAAACUUUUUUCCAUAGUUGCUGCACCAUUUACAAUUUCUACCAGCAAU